rnacentral:rRNA from 1 species
UACGUAGGGGGCAAGCGUUGUCCGGAAUCAUUGGGCGUAAAGCGCGUGUAGGCGGCUUGGUAAGUCUGCUCUGAAAGCCCGGGGCUCAACCCCGGGAGGCGGGUGGAUACUGUCGAGCUAGAGUCCGGAAGAGGCGAGUGGAAUUCCUGGUGUAGCGGUGAAAUGCGCAGAUAUCAGGAGGAACACCAAUGGCGAAGGCAGCUCGCUGGGACGGUACUGACACUGAGGCGCGAAAGCGUGGGGAGCGAACAGG